rnacentral:rRNA from 1 species
GAGCUUUCGGGCUUCGACCGGCGUACGGGUGCGUAACGCGUAUACAAUCUGCCUUUCACAUAGGGAUAGCCCGAAGAAAUUUGGAUUAAUACCUAAUGGUAUAUAGGAGUGGCAUCACAUUUAUAUUAAAGCUGAGGCGGUGAAAGAUGAGUAUGCGUUCUAUUAGCUAGUUGGAGAGGUAACGGCUCCCCAAGGCGACGAUAGAUAGGGGUUCUGAGAGGGAUAUCCCCCACACUGGUACUGAGAUACGGACCAGACUCCUACGGGAGGCAGCAGUGAGGAAUAUUGGACAAUGGUCGGAAGACUGAUCCAGCCAUGCCGCGUGCAGGAAGACGGCCUUAUGGGUUGUAAACUGCUUUUGCAGGGGAAGAAUAAGGAGUACGUGUACUUUGAUGACGGUACUCUGCGAAUAAGCAUCGGCUAACUCCGUGCCAGCAGCCGCGGUAAUACGGAGGAUGCGAGCGUUAUCCGGAAUCAUUGGGUUUAAAGGGUCCGUAGGCGGGCUAAUAAGUCAGAGGUGAAAGCGCUCAGCUCAACUGAGCAACUGCCUUUGAAGCUGUUAGUCUUGAAUGGUUGUGAAGUAGUUGGAAUGUGUAGUGUAGCGGUGAAAUGCUUAGAUAUUACACAGAACACCGAUAGCGAAGGCAUAUUACUAACAAUUAAUUGACGCUGAUGGACGAAAGCGUGGGGAGCGAACAGGAUUAGAUACCCUGGUAGUCCACGCUGUAAACGAUGGAUACUAGCUGUUUGGUUGUUAAGACUGA